GAUGAACGCUGGCGGCGUGCUUAACACAUGCAAGUCGAACGGUGAACGAGGGAGCGUGCUCCCUCCGGAUCAGUGGCGAACGGGUGAGUAACACGUGAGCAAUCUGCCCUGGACUCUGGGAUAAGCGUUGGAAACGACGUCUAAUACCGGAUACGAGGCGUGGGGGCAUCCCCAACGCCUGGAAAGAACUUCGGUCCAGGAUGAGCUCGCGGCCUAUCAGCUAGUUGGUGAGGUAACGGCUCACCAAGGCGACGACAGGUAGCCGGCCUGAGAGGGUGACCGGCCACACUGGGACUGAGACACGGCCCAGACUCCUACGGGAGGCAGCAGUGGGGAAUAUUGCACAAUGGGCGCAAGCCUGAUGCAGCAACGCCGCGUGAGGGACGACGGCCUUCGGGUUGUAAACCUCUUUUAGCAGGGAAGAAGCGAAAGUGACGGUACCUGCAGAAAAAGCACCGGCUAACUACGUGCCAGCAGCCGCGGUAAUAC
rnacentral:rRNA from 1 species